rfam:Aeromicrobium sp. Root472D3 contig_1, whole genome shotgun sequence.
UGAGUCGGCCGGGCGGCCGCGGCGUCCCUCGCGGGGCGUCGAGGAAAGUCCGGACUCCACAGAGCGACGGUGGUGGCUAACGGCCACCCACGGCGACGUGCGGGACAGUGCCACAGAAAUCAGACCGCCAGCGGCCCGUGCUCCUCGGAGCACGGGUGCGGGUAAGGGUGAAACGGUGAGGUAAGAGCUCACCAGCGUCCCGGGUGACCGGGACGGCUAGGUAAACCCCACCGGGAGCAAGACCAAGAGGGCCGCAUGCCGCUUCGGCGGUGCGCGGCCUGCGCUGACGGGCUGCUCGUCCGAUGUCAGCGGGUAGGUUGCACGAGGCGCCCAGCAAUGGGCGUCCCAGAUGGAUGGUCGCCCACGACAGGAUCCGGCUUACAGGCCGACUCAUUCG